rnacentral:rRNA from 1 species
GACGAACGCUGGCGGCGUGCCUAAUACAUGCAAGUUGAGCGCUGAAGGUUGGUACUUGUACCAACUGGAUGAGCAGCGAACGGGUGAGUAACGCGUGGGGAAUCUGCCUUUGAGCGGGGGACAACAUUUGGAAACGAAUGCUAAUACCGCAUAACAACUUUAAACACAAGUUUUAAGUUUGAAAGAUGCAAUUGCAUCACUCAAAGAUGAUCCCGCGUUGUAUUAGCUAGUUGGUGAGGUAAAGGCUCACCAAGGCGAUGAUACAUAGCCGACCUGAGAGGGUGAUCGGCCACAGUGGGACUGAGACACGGCCCAAACUCCUACGGGAGGCAGCAGUAGGGAAUCUUCGGCAAUGGACGAAAGUCUGACCGAGCAACGCCGCGUGAGUGAAGAAGGUUGUCGGAUCGUAAAACUCUGUUGGUAGAGAAGAACGUUGGUGAGAGUGGAAAGCUCAUCAAGUGACGGUAACUACCCAGAAAGGGACGGCUAACUACGUG